rnacentral:rRNA from 1 species
GUGUCAGCCGCCGCGGUAAUACAGAGGUCCCAAGCGUUGUUCGGAUUUACUGGGCGUAAAGGGUGCGUAGGUGGUUGGGUAAGUCUGAUGUGAAAUCUCCGGGCUCAACCCGGAAAUGGCAUUGGAUACUAUUCGACUAGAGGGUUGGAGGGGGGACUGGAAUACUUGGUGUAGCAGUGAAAUGCGUAGAUAUCGAGAGGAACACCUGUGGCGAAAGCGGCGCACUGGACCACAACUGACGCUGAGGCGCGAAAGCUAGGGGAGCAAACAGGAUUAGAAACCCGUGUAGUCC